GACUUUUUUCAGCGUAUUGAUUCAUUGCUGUGCUCCAGAGUCAACAGAAAUGUGCCCAUGGCAACGCUCUGCUGUGCAUGAAAAUGGUGUGUUAUACUUAGCAACGGUCUGUUAUCAA